CCUUAGUGAUUAGGUCAUCUUAUAACCCAAUCAGGUCAAACCUAAUCGAAUUCAAUUCAAUCAGACUUGAUCUGAACCUCAUAGCUCAAUCAAAUUGAGUUAAUUAGCAAUCUAAUUGUUAAUUAAUUCUCCUAUAAUUCACUAACUUCUAGUAAAUUAUUUUAUCAUAACUUUUGUAUAAGGUUAAUUAUUAAUCAUAUUGACGAUUAUACCUUUCAAUAAUUCAUAAUCGUUGAUUAGCUAUCUGAUCAGA
rnacentral:lncRNA from 1 species